rnacentral:ncRNA from 1 species
GGGCGUCGCUCGCGGGAGGAACGCUUUUAUUAGAUCAAAAUCUCGGCCCGUCGCGGCGCGCUUCGUGCGCGUCCCGAUCGCGGCCCGCGCAAAGACCUGGUGACUCUGAAUAACUUCGAGCUGAUCGCACGGUCUCCGUACCGGCGACGCAUCUUUCAAAUGUCUGCCUUAUCAACUGUCGAUGGUAGGUUCCAUGCCUACCAUGGUGGUAACGGGUAACGGGGAAUCAGGGUUCGAUUCCGGAGAGGGAGCCUGAGAAACGGCUACCACAUCCAAGGAAGGCAGCAGGCGCGCAAAUUACCCACUCCCGGAACGGGGAGGUAGUGACGAAAAAUAACGAUACGGGACUCAUCCGAGGCCCCGUAAUCGGAAUGAGAACACUUUAAAACCUUUAAACGAGGAUCAAUUGGAGGGCAAGUCUGGUGCCAGCAGCCGCGGUAAUUCCAGCUCCAAUAGCGUAUAUUAAAGUUGUUGCGGUUAAAAAGCUCGUAGUCGGAUCUGUGUCUGGACGGUGCCGGACCACCCUGGCGGUCCGUCGUGUCGCGGCCGGCCGUGUCGCGGGACCACGUGUCCCGUCGGCGCGGUCGCCGUCGCGCUCGUCAGCCGUCUCGGGGUGUUAGUUACCGGCACGUCGGCCGGACGUAUUGUCGGCAGGCGGACACGUGUCUCGUGCUUCCGGCGCGCCGCGCGGCCACGCGUCGCGCGGCCGUCGGUGUUCGACGACGGCGGCCGCCUACUCCAAUCUUGCUGCGCGGUGCUCUUCACCGAGUGCCGUCGGCGGGUGACACGUUUACUUUGAACCAAAUUAGAGUGCUCAAAGCAGCUCGAAUCUGGCGGGGCGGCUUCACGGUCGUCUCGUCAAAGGCCCUGAAUACUGGUCGCAUG